AUUGAACGCUGGCGGCGUGCUUAACACAUGCAAGUCGAUCGGUAACAGGUGUAGCAAUACAUGCUGACGAGAGGCGGACGGGUGAGUAAUGCUUGGGAAUCUGCCUAUUAGUGGGGGACAACCCGGGGAAACUCGGGCUAAUACCGCAUACGCUCUACGGAGGAAAGCCGGGGACCGCAAGGCCUGGCGCUAAUAGAUGAGCCCAAGUCGGAUUAGCUAGUUGGUAGGGUAACGCCUACCAAGGCGACAAUCCGUAGCUGGUCUGAGAGGACGACCAGCCACACCGGAACUGAGACACGGUCCGGACUCCUACGGGAGGCAGCAGUGGGGAAUAUUGGACAAUGGGGGCAACCCUGAUCCAGCGACGCCGCGUGGGUGAAGAAGGCCUGCGGGUUGUAAAGCCCUUUCGGUGGGAAGAAAAGUCUCGACCUAAUACGUCGGGACCUUGACGUAACCCACUAAAGAAGCACCGGCUAACUCUGUGCCAGCCGCCGCCGU
rnacentral:rRNA from 1 species